UACCAACCCGAUGCAAACUACGAAUACCGAAGAAUGUUAUCACGGGAGACACACGGCGGGUGCUAACGUCCGUCGUGAAGAGGGAAACAACCCAGACCGCCAGCUAAGGUCCCAAAGUCAUGGUUAAGUGGGAAACGAUGUGGGAAGGCACAGACAGCCAGGAUGUUGGCUUAGAAGCAGCCAUCAUUUAAAGAAAGCGUAAUAGCUCACUGGUCGAGUCGGCCUGCGCGGAAGAUGUAACGGGGCUAAACCAUGCACCGAAGCUGCGGCAGCGACACUAUGUGUUGUUGGGUAGGGGAGCGUUCUGUAAGCCUGCGAAGGUGACCUGUGAGGGUUGCUGGAGGUAUCAGAAGUGCGAAUGCUGACAUAAGUAACGAUAAAGCGGGUGAAAAGCCCGCUCGCCGGAAGACCAAGGGUUCCUGUCCAACGUUAAUCGGGGCAGGGUGAGUCGACCCCUAAGGCGAGGCCGAAAGGCGUAGUCGAUGGGAAACAGGUUAAUAUUCCUGUACUUGGUGUUACUGCGAAGGGGGGACGGAGAAGGCUAUGUUAGCCGGGCGACGGUUGUCCCGGUUUAAGCAUGUAGGCUGAUUAUCCAGGCAAAUCCGGAUAAUCAAGGCUGAGGUGUGAUGACGAGGCACUACGGUGCUGAAGUAACAAAUGCCCUGCUUCCAGGAAAAGCCUCUAAGCAUCAGGUAACAUCAAAUCGUACCCCAAACCGACACAGGUGGUCAGGUAGAGAAUACCAAGGCGCUUGAGAGAACUCGGGUGAAGGAACUAGGCAAAAUGGUGCCGUAACUUCGGGAGAAGGCACGCUGGUGUGUAGGUGAAGCCCCUGCGGGUGGAGCUGAGACCAGUCGAAGAUACCAGCUGGCUGCAACUGUUUAUUAAAAACACAGCACUGUGCAAACACGAAAGUGGACGUAUACGGUGUGACGCCUGCCCGGUGCCGGAAGGUUAAUUGAUGGGGUUAUCCGUAAGGAGAAGCUCUUGAUCGAAGCCCCGGUAAACGGCGGCCGUAACUAUAACGGUCCUAAGGUAGCGAAAUUCCUUGUCGGGUAAGUUCCGACCUGCACGAAUGGCGUAAUGAUGGCCAGGCUGUCUCCACCCGAGACUCAGUGAAAUUGAACUCGCUGUGAAGAUGCAGUGUACCCGCGGCAAGACGGAAAGACCCCGUGAACCUUUACUAUAGCUUGACACUGAACAUUGAGCCUUGAUGUGUAGGAUAGGUGGGAGGCUUUGAAGCGUGGACGCCAGUCUGCGUGGAGCCAACCUUGAAAUACCACCCUUUAAUGUUUGAUGUUCUAACGUUGGCCCCUGACCGGGGUUGCGGACAGUGUCUGGUGGGUAGUUUGACUGGGGCGGUCUCCUCCCAAAGCGUAACGGAGGAGCACGAAGGUUAGCUAAUCCUGGUCGGACAUCAGGAGGUUAGUGCAAUGGCAUAAGCUAGCUUGACUGCGAGCGUGACGGCGCGAGCAGGUGCGAAAGCAGGUCAUAGU
rnacentral:rRNA from 1 species